AACCUGGGAACUGCAUUCGAAACUGGCAGGCUAGAGUCUUGUCGAGGGGGGUAGAAUUCCAGGGGUAGCGGUGAAAUGCGUAGAGAUCUGGAGGAAUACCGGUGGCGACGGCGGCCCCCUGGACAAAGACUGACGCUCAGGUGCGAAAGCGUGGGGAGCAAACAGGCUUAGAUACCCUGGUAGUCCACGCCGUAAACGAUGUCGAGUUGGAGGUUGUGCCCUUGAGGCGUGGCUUCCGGAGCUCACGCGUUAAAUCGACCGCC
rnacentral:rRNA from 1 species